GAGAGCCCUCUACAGGGAUGUCAUGCAGGAGAACUAUGAGACGGUGGUCUUGCUGGGAGCAGGAAGAACUGGGCUCGCAGACACAGGGAGCUCUACCGGAGUGAAGACUAAUGGACAGGCACAGGGAAAGGAAACCGAAGCAUUUUCUACAGCAGCAUGGCUCAAGGGCAUUGGCCAGGUUUCCAGUUUCCAAACCUGAUGUGAUCUCGCAGCUGGAACGAGGGGAAGAGCCAUGG